AGCAAGGCGGCCCAGUGGUGAAGGCAAUGGACUGCUAAUCCAUUGUGCAUGUGUGGGUUCGAAUCCCACCCUCGUCA